UACGUAGGGGGCAAGCGUUGACCGGAUUUAUUGGGCGUAAAGAGCGUGUAGGCGGCCAGGUAGGUCCGUUGUGAAAACUGGAGGCUUAACCUCCAGCUGUCGAUGGAAACCAUCUGGCUAGAGUCCGGAAGAGGAGAGUGGAAUUCCUGGUGUAGCGGUGAAAUGCGCAGAUAUCAGGAAGAACACCCGUGGCGAAGGCGGCUCUCUGGGACGGUACUGACGCUGAGACGCGAAAGCGUGGGGAGCGAACAGG
rnacentral:rRNA from 1 species